rnacentral:rRNA from 1 species
UCCCGAAACUAAGCGAGCUACUCUAAAGCACUUUGUUGAACUAACCCGUCCCUGUGGCAAAAGGGUGGGAAGACUUUAGAAUAGAGGUGAUACGCCUACCGAGCUUAGAGAUAGCUGGUUAUUCAAGAAAAGGAUUUUAGUCCAUCUUUAAGUUUCCUCAGUUUUGUAAAACAUCUAAUAAACUUAAAAGUCAUUCAAAUAAGGGACAGCUUAUUUGAAAAAGGGCACAGCCUAUAACUCAGGGUAAUGACCUUCUCUCGUGACCAAGUUAGCCUUAAAGCAGCUACCUUUCAAAAAGCGUCCAAGCUUCAUCACAAAACCUUAUUAAUCCCACAAUCAACUCACAACCCCCAACCAUUACUGAAUAAUCUUAUAAUGUAUAAGAACUAUUAUGCUAGAACGAGUAACAAGAAGAAGACCUUCUCCAUAAUGUAAAUGUAAGCCAAAAUGAACACUCACCGGCACUUACCGCCAUAACCCAACAGUAUUAACAUUUCAAGAAAAAAAUACUUUACCCGACGUUAACCUUACACAAGCACAUUCCCGGAAAGAUUAAAAAAGGAGGAAGGAACUCGGCAAACGAUA